ACGAUUGCGCAUGUGCAGUUCUAUUGUUGUCAAAAAGUAUUCUGUCAUACAGUUUCGUCACAGCAUCACCAAGUCUGUCGUUUUCGUCCAACAACUUAUGUCGUCCACGAUAUUCUGGGAGAUUAAAUACUACAACUUGGACUACAGAUUACCUCACCCAGUUUGAUGAUUCAGUUCUACAGUCAAAUGCUUUUUCAACAUUGAAGUUUGUGUAUUCUCGACUUGCUUUUUAGCCAUGUUGGUGAUAUGAUAUAAAAGAAUAUUUUGUCAUUGUUAUUGUUGGCACCAGCCGACGUGGGCGAGCAACAUUGUUUGGUAAAUCUCAAGAGAACGGUUGAAAGAAUUGAAAAAAAACUCAGUUUCGUUGUCGGCUUUGACCCAAAAGACUGCACUACCUUUCUUGUAAACAUUGACAUUAUAAGUAAAAUUAUCAAAGGUGAUAUAUAUAGAAAUGGUCCAAGUUCUACCAAUGAGCAUGUGCAAAACUGUCCUAUUAGUCCUUCCACGAUCACUGGCAAUGAUCCACACUGGAGACAAAGAAAACUUAAAACCAUCACAUGUUUUGAUUGCAUAAAACAAGCAGACUGGGUUGAGAAAUAUGAUUUAUGAAAAAUACAAAUUCUUCUUUGGCAUGUUGA